rnacentral:ncRNA from 1 species
CCUGUGGAAUGUUAUAGCAAACGAGAGUAGCGAGCAAGUGGCAAAAUCGGAACACGUAGAAACAGGAA